CAAUAGCGUAUAUUAAUGUUGUUGCAGUUAAAAAGCUCGUAGUUGGAUUUCUGACGAGAGCCCUGGUCACUUUAACGAGUGUACUGAUGUGGCGUCUUGUCGCUUCAUGGGGAUGCUUGCUGGUAUUAAGUUAUCGGCUUGUGGAUCCAUGUCGUUUACUGUGAAAAAAUUAGAGUGUUCAAAGCAGGCCAUCGCUGUGAAUACAUUAGCAUGGAAUAAUAAGAUAGGACUGUGGUGCUAUUUUGUUGGUUUGCGUACUACGGUAAUGAUUAAUAGGGAUAGUUGGGGGUAUUCAUAUUCAAUUGUCAGAGGUGAAAUUCUUGGAUUUAUGGAAGAUGAACUACUGCGAAAGCAUUUACCAAGGAUGUUUNCAUUA
rnacentral:rRNA from 1 species